rnacentral:rRNA from 1 species
AUCCUACGGGGGGCAGCAGUGGGGGAUAUUGGACAGUGGGGGGAACCCUGAUCCAGCGACGACGCGUGAGUGAAGAAGUAUUUCGGUAUGUAAAGCUCUGUCAGCAGGGAAGAAAGCAAUGACGGUACCUGACCAAGAAGCCCCGGCUAACUACGUGCCAGCAGCCGCGGUAAUACGUAGGGGGCAAGCGUUAUCCGGAAUCACUGGGUGUAAAGGGAGCGUAGACGGCUGAGCAAGCCUGAAGUGAAAGGCGGGGGCCCAACCCCUGGACUGCUUUGGGAACUGUACGGCUGGAGUGCAGGAGG